rnacentral:rRNA from 1 species
UACGUAGGGUGCGAGCGUUAAUCGGAAUUACUGGGCGUAAAGCGUGCGCAGGCGGUGAUGUAAGACAGUUGUGAAAUCCCCGGGCUCAACCUGGGAAUUGCAUUUGUGACUGCACGGCUAGAGUGUGUCAGAGGGGGGUAGAAUUCCACGUGUAGCAGUGAAAUGCGUAGAUAUGUGGAGGAAUACCGAUGGCGAAGGCAGCCCCCUGGGAUAACACUGACGCUCAUGCACGAAAGCGUGGGGGAGCAAACAGG